CUGAGCUGGUGAUGAUAUGAAGUUAUCCCUGUCUGAAAAAAGUACUUUCAUUUUGUGGAGUUGUAACUCUGAGGCUCAG
ensembl:snoRNA small nucleolar RNA, C/D box 1C